CAAUAGCGUAUAUUAAAGUUGUUGCGGUUAAAAAGCUCGUAGUUGGAUUUCUGCCGAGGACGACCGGUCCGCCCUCUGGGUGAGUAUCUGGCUCGGCCUGGGCAUCUUCUUGGAGAACGUAGCUGCACUUGACUGUGUGGUGCGGUAUCCAGGACUUUUACUUUGAGGAAAUUAGAGUGUUUCAAGCAGGCUUACGCCUUGAAUACAUUAGCAUGGAAUAAUAAGAUAGGACCUCGGUUCUAUUUUGUUGGUUUCUAGAGCUGAGGUAAUGAUUAAUAGGGAUAGUUGGGGGCAUUCGUAUUUAACUGUCAGAGGUGAAAUUCUUGGAUUUGUUAAAGACUGACUACUGCGAAAGCAUUUGCCAAGGAUGUUUNCAUUG
rnacentral:rRNA from 1 species